CAGCCGCCGCGGUAAUACGUAGGGUGCAAGCGUUAAUCGGAAUUACUGGGCGUAAAGCGUGCGCAGGCGGUUCGCUAAGACAGAUGUGAAAUCCCCGGGCUUAACCUGGGAACUGCAUUUGUGACUGGCGGGCUAGAGUAUGGCAGAGGGGGGUAGAAUUCCACGUGUAGCAGUGAAAUGCGUAGAGAUGUGGAGGAAUACCGAUGGCGAAGGCAGCCCCCUGGGCCAAUACUGACGCUCAUGCACGAAAGCGUGGGGAGCAAACAGGAUUAGAUACCCGUGUAGUCCCUGUCUCUUAUAC
rnacentral:rRNA from 1 species